GUGUAUACCUACCGAUUCCGUCGCGGGUAAAACAACCGUGUGUACCAAUUACGUCCCGUUUAAAAAUAAGUAUAUACCAAUUCCUUCUUAAUUUUGUGUAUGUAUCUUGUUGAAUAUAUUUUAAAGCUUCUAUAAAUUGGUUAAUAUUCGGGUGAGCAUGAUGAAACAUUCCAUUAAAUUUAGAAUGAAACGAUUCACAGUUAUUUGUUAUUUGACGCGGAAAGUAGGUACUAUAUUCAUUUCUAAAUAAUACAACAUU